rnacentral:rRNA from 1 species
CGGCCCAGGGGGGAACUGGAACCAUUCUCAGUACCCCGAGGGAAAAGAAAUCAACCGAGAUUCCCCCAGUAGCGGCGAGCGAACGUUGGAGCAGCCCAGAGUCAACAUCAAUACUUACCGCAGGAGAAGGGUCUGGAAAGGCCAGCAAUAAAGGGUGAUAGCCCCGUAUCUGAAACGGUAAGUAUUGUGAACUCGAAGAGUAGGGCGGGACACGUGUUAUCCUGUCUGAAUAUGGGGGGACCAUCCUCCAAGGCUAAAUACUCCUGACUGACCGAUAGUGAACCAGUACCGUGAGGGAAAGGCGAAAAGAACCCCGGCGAGGGGAGUGAAAUAGAACCUGAAACCGUGUACGUACAAGCAGUGGGAGCACCCGAAAGGGUGUGACUGCGUACCUUUUGUAUAAUGGGUCAGCGACUUAUAUUCUGUAGCAAGGUUAACCGCAUAGGGGAGCCGUAGGGAAACCGAGUCUUAACUGGGCGUUAAGUUGCGGGGUAUAGACCCGAAACCCGGUGAUCUAGCCAUGGGCAGGUUGAAGGUUGGGUAACACUAACUGGAGGACC